rnacentral:lncRNA from 10 species
GCUUGAGAUGAAGUCUUGCUCUGUUGCCUGGGCUGGAGUGCAGUGGCACGACUUUGGCUCACUGCAACCUCCACCUCCCAGGUUCAAGCCAUUCUCCUGACUCAGCCUCCUGAGUAGCUGGGAUUACAGGCGCGUGCCACGACGCCCAGCUAAUUUUCGUAUGUUUAGUAGAGACGAGGAUUCACCAUGUUGGCCAGGCUGGUCUGAAACUCCUGACCUCAUUUGAUCCACCAACCUCGGCCUCCCAAAGUGCUGGGAUCACAGGAGUGAGCCACCAUG